GACGAACGCUGGCGGCGUGCCUAAUACAUGCAAGUUGAGCGCUGAAGGUUGGUACUUGUACCGACUGGAUGAGCAGCGAACGGGUGAGUAACGCGUGGGGAAUCUGCCUUUGAGCGGGGGACAACAUUUGGAAACGAAUGCUAAUACCGCAUAAAAACUUUAAACACAAGUUUUAAGUUUGAAAGAUGCAAUUGCAUCACUCAAAGAUGAUCCCGCGUUGUAUUAGCUAGUUGGUGAGGUAAAGGCUCACCAAGGCGAUGAUACAUAGCCGACCUGAGAGGGUGAUCGGCCACAUUGGGACUGAGACACGGCCCAAACUCCUACGGGAGGCAGCAGUAGGGAAUCUUCGGCAAAGGACGAAGUCUGACCGAGCAACGCCGCGUGAGUGAAGAAGGUUUUCGGAUCGUAAAACUCUGUUGGUAGAGAAGAACGUUGGUGAGAGUGGAAAGCUCAUCAAGUGACGGUAACUACCCAGAAAGGGACGGCUAACUACGUG
rnacentral:rRNA from 1 species